AAAAGUUUGACACCGAAGUAUUUGACCUAAACACACACUCUGACACACAAACUCUUUAUCUCUCUUGCUUUCUUCUUCUUCUUCUUCUUCUUCUUUUUCUCUCUCUUCUCUGCAGAUCUGGUGGUUAGGUUUAAUGGAUCUAGCAUCUGGGGUUCGAGAAGGUUGACUUUGGCUGUGGGGGCAGAAUGGCAACUUCUGGUUAGCUAGCAAUUGCAUUAAAGUAACUCCAAGGCUGUAGAGAUCAUGGUAUGGUCUGACCAUUGUUUGACCUGUUAAGAGGUGACGCACUGUAGAAUAUCAUCUUGGUCUAAAAUCAACGAUUCAAAGAACUUUUGUAAGUGUACUCUAAUGCUAGAACAACCAAACAAAGCAGGUCAAGGAACAUCUUGUGGAUGCAUUAGAAUAUGGUGCUCUAUUGCAUGAGCCUGAUGCUCACUUCCUUACAAAAAAAUAAUUACAUAUUUUGUUAAGAUGACACUUAAAACUGUGUUUUUACUUUUUAGUAUGUUUUCUCUGUUUUUUUCAAGUUGUUCCAUAUUAACCUUUUGCAUAGGUCAUACUCCAUUUUGACCAUUAUUUUGGUUAUUUAUCUUUUGUUCAGUUGAAAAGCAGUCGUGGGUUUUGGUUUGUUUCGUUUCAAUAUAUAUUUCCAAAAGUAUCUGUUUUCUAUAAUUUUUAUUUAUAGAUAAUUAAAAACAUCAAUAAUAAAAAUGUUGUGAUGGCAAAUGUGAUAGUUAAUAUGGUACAGAAAAGGAGAAAAUAUGAGCUUUUAAACGUGCAGGUUAGCUUUGUAGUUUUAUUCAAUUCUAAGCAAUAAUCUUUUGAAGAUGAAGACAGAACUUACCUCCAAUGUAGUUUUGUAGUGAUCCUCUUUCAGCUAACCGGAAAAUAAUGGCUCUUUCUGUUUCGUCCUUACUCACAGCUGUCCCGAGAACACCAAUGAAGUUCUUGUGUGUAAAUUCAGAAAGGACCCCUACCUCGGCCUAUGACAAGUUAUAGGUUUGUUAGCAAAUGCAGUUCAUUAUUUUAAACUAGUAACAAAAUAAGGAGCAUUUUUAUAAAUUUGCUAAUUGAUGUUCUACUGGUCCAUGAAAUUAAUCCUUCAAUAACUUGUGGUUGACAUUGUUGACUUGAACGUCAGGUUCUUAUCACUGCCUUGACCUCCUCAAAACAUUAUGUAUGGGUGAUUGCAAGGAUUAACCUUUAGAUUUCCUGCCUUUCCCCUUCAGAACAUUCAAAUAUCAAAUACCUAUCACUUUGACAUGUUUGAGUUGCAAAGGAGGGCAUUACAUGUAGCGUGAAAUAAAUUGCAACUGUCUUGCUAAUACUGGUCAAAUUAAGCUCCCUCAUAUGCUAUGCUUUUAUAUUUCUCACAGAAAGAACAACUGUUAAUAACUUAAUAUUCAUGCAUGAAAAUUUCCUAGGGAAAGUUCUUUUCCUGAUAUCCUUUCAAUUCCUUCUGUUUUUCAGGAGAAAAUAAAUAAAAAAAACCUUGUCCCAAAUUGUAACAAGGAUCAUUUAAAGUAGUGCUGCACUACUGUAAAUGAUCCUUGUUACAAGUCGGGUCAACAUUUUCCAGGUUUUUUGAGUUAGUUUCUCCUGAGGAACAGAAGGAAUAGAAAGGAUAUCAGGAGAAGAAAUUCUCCCUAGGAAAUUUGAGGGGGCAAGGAAAAUAUCCUACACUCCUGAAGAGGUGUAGAUUCCACUGCCAUUUCUCUCUUUUGUUACCCUUUGGUUGAAAAAAGUUUGUGUUGAAUUGAUUGUACAGAAUUUUGGAAUGAAGUUGGCUAAAGAUUUCUGGAAUGAACUUCUGGUCUCGCAAGAGAACUUCUCAGUUGAGAUAAGGAGUUAAAGAGGAUUAUAGGUGCUUAACUUGGUAUAUCCUAUUCCUAGCGAAAUGAACAGUGUGACUUGAACAUCUAAGCUAAAUAAAAAGGCUCCCCUCUCUCACAACCACAAAACACACACACCAUCAUUACUUGUGUGCUUUUUCCUUGCGAGUAGAGCUACCCAGUUUUCACUGAUGUUCAACUUAGAAGUAUCUGUGAGCAAGAAUUGUCUUCUAGAUGCUUCUAGUUUUAAGUUCAUCUAUAUAUAGUACUUCGUACUUGUCAGCUACCAUAGAAAAAUAAUGUCUUUUUUGUGUAAAUAUUGUUUAUCUCUUGAUCCUUGAUGGCAAAGCUAAACUGGUGAGCUGUGUGGUUCUUUUCUUUUUCAAGCUACAGAAGGAGAGCUCAUAUAUGUACUGUUGAUUGGCAUUUACUGUGGUUUGGAUUCGUGGACACUGCCAUACUGCCAGGUUCUGCUAAAAACAGUAUUGAUGUAUUUUGCAGAGGUAAAAUAUAUCUUAUUUACUUUGGAUUGUACAAGAAAUCUAUAUUGAUUUGGUAUUCUGCCUGUGGGGAAGUAUAUAAAUUAUAGAUAUACCAUGUAGUUCUACUUUUUUUUUUUCUAGCUUCUACUAUUGAUUUCCCCUAUCAGAUGCCUUAAGACUUGGACCUUGGCAUUCUGCUCAAUGUUGGUUCUUGUGCUGACCUCUGUAAUGUGGCUUCAAAGGUUUCUUUUUGUUUCACUGUUGUUUUUGUCUUGCUAUACAAAUGUAUAUUCACAUUCUACUUGAGAGUUUCGAAAAUUCUUUUUUUACAUGAA